GGGUUGUGAGGUUAAGCGACUAAGCGUACACGGUGGAUGCCCUGGCAGUCAGAGGCGAUGAAGGACGUGCUAAUCUGCGAUAAGCGUCGGUAAGGUGAUAUGAACCGUUAUAACCGGCGAUUUCCGAAUGGGGAAACCCAGUGUGUUUCGACACACUAUCAUUAACUGAAUCCAUAGGUUAAUGAGGCGAACCGGGGGAACUGAAACAUCUAAGUACCCCGAGGAAAAGAAAUCAACCGAGAUUCCCCCAGUAGCGGCGAGCGAACGGGGAGCAGCCCAGAGCCUGAAUCAGUAUGUGUGUUAGUGGAAGCGUCUGGAAAGGCGCGCGAUACAGGGUGACAGCCCCGUACACAAAAAUGCACAUGCUGUGAGCUCGAUGAGUAGGGCGGGACACGUGGUAUCCUGUCUGAAUAUGGGGGGACCAUCCUCCAAGGCUAAAUACUCCUGACUGACCGAUAGUGAACCAGUACCGUGAGGGAAAGGCGAAAAGAACCCCGGCGAGGGGAGUGAAAAAGAACCUGAAACCGUGUACGUACAAGCAGUGGGAGCACGCUUAGGCGUGUGACUGCGUACCUUUUGUAUAAUGGGUCAGCGACUUAUAUUCUGUAGCAAGGUUAACCGAAUAGGGGAGCCGAAGGGAAACCGAGUCUUAACUGGGCGUUAAGUUGCAGGGUAUAGACCCGAAACCCGGUGAUCUAGCCAUGGGCAGGUUGAAGGUUGGGUAACACUAACUGGAGGACCGAACCGACUAAUGUUGAAAAAUUAGCGGAUGACUUGUGGCUGGGGGUGAAAGGCCAAUCAAACCGGGAGAUAGCUGGUUCUCCCCGAAAGCUAUUUAGGUAGCGCCUCGUGAAUUCAUCUCCGGGGGUAGAGCACUGUUUCGGCAAGGGGGUCAUCCCGACUUACCAACCCGAUGCAAACUGCGAAUACCGGAGAAUGUUAUCACGGGAGACACACGGCGGGUGCUAACGUCCGUCGUGAAGAGGGAAACAACCCAGACCGCCAGCUAAGGUCCCAAAGUCAUGGUUAAGUGGGAAACGAUGUGGGAAGGCCCAGACAGCCAGGAUGUUGGCUUAGAAGCAGCCAUCAUUUAAAGAAAGCGUAAUAGCUCACUGGUCGAGUCGGCCUGCGCGGAAGAUGUAACGGGGCUAAACCAUGCAC
rnacentral:rRNA from 2 species